UACGUAGGGGGCAAGCGUUGUUCGGAAUUACUGGGCGUAAAGCGCACGUAGGCGGCUUUGUAAGUUAGAGGUGAAAGCCCGGGGCUCAACUCCGGAAUUGCCUUUAAGACUGCAUCGCUAGAAUUGUGGAGAGGUAAGUGGAAUUCCGAGUGUAGAGGUGAAAUACGUAGAGAUUGGGAAGAACACCAGUGGCGAAGGCGACUCUUUGGCCUGUAACUGACGCUGAGGCGCGAAAGCGUGGGGAGCAAACAGG
rnacentral:rRNA from 1 species